GGGCCAUUUUCACUAGUCAUCGCCAUGAAGAGUGUAAUGCUGCAAGCGACAACUGCUCCUCCGCCGUGCGCUGGGGCUCCGGCUAUGGUUUUCCACCGUCCGCCUCCGCACUGUCAGUUUUUCCGGCGACCGCCGCCACUUCUCCAGCCUCUCCGGAGCAGUAAGCCUCUGCCUUUUACCCAUCUCAGGGGAGCCAAAGGAAUACGUAAUUCGAACUCGAAUUCAAAUGAUGAGACGAGUGGUUUCCUCGAGUUUGAAUUCGAACUCGAAUUCACCAGAUUUACGAGUCAAAUUCGAACAUUCCAUCGUUAAGCUUCCGGAAGAGAAGCCUGUUAUAGAAGCGGAAGUGACAGGUGUUUUGGUCAACGAGAACGGCGAGCCUGUUCCAAUCACACCGGAGAUACAUAUAUAUAUAUAUAUAU